rnacentral:pre_miRNA from 1 species
GAUUUCAACUGAAAAAGUCAUCAACAACAAAGUUGUAUAACUCAUCAAGAUCUAUAACUUUUAUUUUGAUUAUUUCUUCAUCUGACCAAAUGAUAGUAAUAUUAUUCAUAAAAUUUACAUAUUUCUUAUAUGGCUUUAUAAACUAUAAUAUAAUAGAGAUAUGCAAAUUUUGUAAACAAUAUUAUUAUCACUUUAUCGGAUGAAGAAAUGAUCAAAAUAAAAGUUGUAUGUCUUGAUGAGUUCUACAACUUUUAUGUUCAUGACUUUUUCAGCUGAAAUU